UACAAAAACAUUUCUUAAGGAAAAAUUUUAAGUAAUGUCUGCCCGGUGAAUUUUUUAACGGCCGCGGUAAUUUGACCGUGCUAAGGUAGCAUAAUCAUUUGUCUCUUAAUUGGAGACUGGAAUGAAAGGCAAAACGUGAAUCGAUCUGUCUUUUUGAUAAAGUUUGAAGUUUAUUUUUUAGUGAAAAAGCUAAAAUGAUUUUGUGGGACGAUAAGACCCCGUAGAUCUUUAUUGUAUACUUAAGUAUUAAAAAAAGUAACAAUUUUAUUGGGGCGAUAAAAAGAAAAAAAUAUCUCUUUUAAAUUUAAAUAUUUAUUUAUAAAUGAAAUUAUUGAUCCUAGGUGAUGGAUUUUAAGAAAAAGUUACCUUGGGGAUAACAGCGUUAUAUUUUUUGAGAGUUCUUAUCGAAAAAAAUGUUUGCGACCUCGAUGUUGGAUUAAGAUAUUAUUGUGGUGCAGAAUUUAUAAUUAUUAGUCUGUUCGACUAUUAAAAUCUUACGUGAUCUGAGUUCAGACCGG
rnacentral:rRNA from 1 species